rnacentral:rRNA from 1 species
AAUAAGAUAAGUAUAUAAAGAAACUAUUAUGGAUGGUUAGCUAUAUAUUUCAAGAUAACAAUAUCUAGGAAAUAAUAUAAACUAGAAAUCAUAGAGAAAUCUAAUAAUAAGACAAAGUGAAUUGAAAUAUCUUAGUAACUUUAGUAAAAGAAAUCAAACGAGAUUGUUAUUUGGUGUCUUCUGAAUAGCAAAAGCCUAAAAAAUAAUAAUGUAUUUAUCAUUAAAUCAUUAUAUAUUAAAAAAUACUAUGUACUUAGGUACAUAGUAUAUAAUAAGUAUAACGGAAAAAAAUCUGUUGAAAAAUAGGGGAACCUUCCUCUAAGGCUAAAAAAAAUAUAUAAGCGAUAGAGUAACAGUACCGUGAGGGAAAUACCUAGAAAUAGUAGUUUUAAAAGCAGCUCAAGUUAAAAUUUAAAUAAAUAAUAAGAGUGUACCUUUUGCAUAAUGGGUCAGCAAGUUAAUUUUAGAUGCAAGUAACAUCUUUUUUAAAAUAAUUUAUAUUAAAUACAUAAUAAGGAAUAAAAUCAGUUUUAUUAGUGAAUAUAUGUUUAGUAUUAAUUAAAUUAAGUUAUGCUUAAUUUAGUAAUAAGAAUAUUAAAGUAAAAUCUAAUAAGGAGGGGUUUUAUUCUGUAAAUAUGUUAUAUACAUGUAUAAAUUAUAAUAAAAUAAGGAGAUAGGUACGCAGAUAAACCAAUUAUGAAAAAAUGAAUAAGUAUCUAGAAUUAGACCCGAAGGCUAGUGAUCUUACCAUGGUCAGGGUUAUAAAAGCCCGAACGGGUUAUCGUUGUAAAGAUAUCCGAUGAACUGUGGUAAGUUAGUGAAAGACAAAACUGACUAGUAUAGCUGGUUUUCCGCGAAACCUAUGUAAGUAGGUAAUUUAAUUAACAUCUUAGCAGGUACAGAACUGUGAUCUCGGACAAUAUGUAAUAUAUUUGUCAACAUCGGGGGGUUGUAGUGACUUUACCGGAGAGUAUUUGCACUCGGAAGGGCAAAGAUGAAUGUUAAAUAAUCGGACAUAGUGCGAUAAGGUUGUAUGUCUAAAGGGAAACAGCCCAGAACAAGAGUUAAGGUUCCAAAAUUAUUGUUAAGUGAAAUUAAGGAUGUUUUUUUUAAAAACAAUCAGGAAAUAGGCUUAGAAGCGGCCAUUUUUUGAAGACCUCGUAACAGAGCACUGAUUAAUAAAUUAGGAAAAAACGCCGAAAAUUUAACGGAUCUAAAUAAUAUACCGAAACCUUGUACACAUAAAUAAAAAUAAAAAUAUAUAUAAUUUAAAAUUUUUAAUGUGGGGUAGCGGAACAUUGGAUAAUACAGAAUAUAAAUAAUUUUCUUAAAAUUAUUUAAUUCGUAAUACCUUAGUUAUAAAAAAGACAUCUACAAAAAUAUCAAAUAUUGUGCAAAUAAUGUUUGAAGCUAUUCUAGAUAUACUGUUAUAACUAAGGAUUACGGUUGUAAAAUCCAAGAGAGAAUGCUGACAUGAGUAACGAAAAAGGCUUUUAAGCCUCGCCUGAAGCUUAUGGUUUCCUCAAAAAUCGGUGUCUAAAAAGAUUAAUCAAAAGAUAAUUUUGAUGACGUUUAUAGUUUUUUAUAUGAUAAUACCAAAACCUUUAACAAGUAAUAAAGGUUCUGGAAAAGUUUAUUACUUAUUUAUUUAAUUAACCGUAAUCUAUUAAAUAAUAUAAGAAAGAAAAAAACAAGUAAUAACCGUACCUAGAAACUAACUCAAGUAAGCAAGUAGAGAAUACAAAGGCGUUUGAGAGAACAAUCAUUAAGGAACUCGGCAAAUUGACUCUGUACCUUUGGAAUAAGGAGGGCCAUUAACAUUAAUUUAACAUACUAUUAAGUAUGAAAAAUUAAAUUAAUGUUAAGAGGAAUCAUGAAAUAAUGUUGUACGACUGUUUAAUAAAAACACAGCACUCUGCAAAGAUAAAAAAUCAAAGUAUUGAGUGUGAUGUCUGCCCAAUGUCGGCUGGGUAACGGAUCUUCCUUAAUUAUUAACUAAGGUUUUGAAGGACACCCCGAUUAAUGGCGGCCUUACCUAUGAGGGUCCUAAGGUAGCGAAAUACCUUGGCCGUUAAAUGCGGUCCUGCAUGAAUGACUUAACGAUGCAACAGCUGUCUCGAUGAUUGUCUCAGUGAAAUUGGAAUAGCAGUGCAGAUACUGUUUACCUCUAGAUAGACGAGAAGACCCUAUGCAGCUUUACUGUUACUAAUUACAGAAACUUGUUUUGGAUGAUUUAUAGUGUAUAAGGUAAUUGUUUAUAUAAUAAUGAAACACCUUUAUUCGAAUCCAUAUAUACAUUCUGAUGAUUGGAAGGCAGUUUAUGCGGGGCACAGAUCCCACAAAAAGUACCUGGGUAUAUCCAAAGUUCAUAUUGUAAACUUGUAUAUUUAUAUACAAAUAUUUUAAUUUGUUCUAAUUAUUAUUAUAAUUAUACAGUUAUUAUUCGAUUAAAUUCAAUAAUUAUUUUUAUUUUAAGUAAGAUUUUAACUAUGCGGUGAAUAGAUGUAUUUUAAACUUUAAACAUUAAACUUUAGUUUAAUGUUUUAUAUAUUAAAAGUUUAUUGUUAUAUUAAUAAAGUAUUUAUGUUUAUUAAUAUGAUAUUUAUUAAUACUUUAAAAGUUUAAUGGCUAAAUCUUGCUUUACUGUUUGACCUACAAGUCUAUCAGUCGCGUAAGCGGGGCAUAUGAUCACAAGAUGCAUUAAGGAAAGGUCUUGGAUUAUAGAAAAAGUUACGCUAGGGAUUUAUAACUGUGAGUCCUCCAAUAUUAAAAAAUAUUGGUAAUAUAUUGGGUAAAUUUCAAAGAUAACUUAUAUUAAUUAAGUGUAUUUGAAGCGAAACUUAUUUUAGCUUGUAUUUAUGUUAUACAUAAAUUAAAAUAAGAACGUUCAACGACUAAAAGGUGAGUAU